GAAAGACAAGACUUGUGAUUUGACACUAGCAUCCAGAAAAGGUUUCUGUCUAGAUUAGCAAAUGCCUAAAUUGUUCUUGGUUACAUCCCAUGACCGGUUUUAGGCAGUGACUUUAUACUGCUUUUAGGAUUUUCUUGUACAAUGGUGAGAAAAUAGGCAGGUCUGGUACUGGUUCUUUUUUUCUACUUCACAUUCCAUGAGAUUCUUUUAUCCAAGCACUUGUUUUAAAAUUCUACUGUAGGCGUUUAUGGUUCACUUUUUUUUUCUUUGCAGCACCCGUGACUUUUUUUUUUGUCUAAAUCGACAGUAAAUAUAGCUGAGUAAAAUUACCUUGGUUUUCUUCCUUCUUUUUUAACUGAAUUGUUUUUAUUAAAAAUCCUAUUUGAAUAUGUAGAAAAAGUGGGUAUGUCCUGUAAUAUAUCCUAGCUUUUCUUGUUUACAGGGUACUCAGAAAAUAUGUCUCCCUUAGAGUCCCACAGAAACAUUCUCAGUGCGAUCUCUAUCAAGUGCUAUGAGUCUUGAUAAAUUGGAGAAGAGCCCAAGAGAAAUUUUUCAUCACUUGAUAAAAAAGGGAUCGGUGAAUUUUAACUUUGGAGUCCUCUAUGCUAAGGAUGCUCAGCUUACAGAUGAUGAAAUGUUCAGUAAUGUAUUUGCUGCAGCUCUGCUUACCCAAGCUUUGGGUUCCUUCUGUCCCACUGGGAGUUGCCCAGUUUGGUUGCAUCUGGUGAAAUUCACCCUGAGACCUUACAGAACUAGCUCAAACUACAUGAGAGCCAUUUGCAGUUCUCUCCAGACACCUGGAGAAUGGGUGAUGUUUCUGAGGAUCUGGCAAGUAUACUUCUAUCAAAACUCAGUCUGUGAAAUUUCUGGGGAAAACCCUUCUGUGUCCUGAAGGGUUCAAACUCUGGUGAGGAUCCAGUUAUCAGGUGCUCACCUGGAUGGUUCCAGCUCUUAAAGUGAACACUUGUACUCUUGCCCUGUAGUUUAUAUGUAUUGUAUUUUUGUUAUUUUGCAAGAUUUUACAGCUUUGCAAAAUACUGGGCAUUUCACUCUUUGGAACCUCUCAGAUCGUUCUUUGGUGCAGCACCACCUCAUGGGACACUUGGCUGCUGUCCUGAAGGGGUUGGUCGCUAGAAUUGUAAAUCCUGGAGAGUUUAUAAGUCUUCUGUCCCCAGGGAGGGAAAGACUCUCGUAUCCUUGUCGUCAGGCUCGGUGCUGUCCAAGAAGAUACAGAGACUAAAAAAAUCAUAAGAAGCAAAAUAUGACUGCAGGGAAAACAAGCUGGAGAGAGCAAAAGAGCCCAGAACACGAUUUCCUCAGGCUACCAUUUGUGUGCCAUCGGUACUCACCACGGAAGCGAGCUGGGGAUUGUUGCAGCUGUUGGGAACAAACCGCUUCUCGUCACACAGAAAUGGAAUUGGGAUGACGCCUCGGCCAGCCCCUCUCUGCCAUCGUCUCCUGAAUCUGCAGCAGAGCAGUUCCAGUCCAUCCGGGCACGUGUAAUCCAGUUCCUGAUGAUCUGAGCACACGGAGCAGCACUCAGCUGCUGUGGGGGGCUCAGGGAAGGCAGAGUGUGCAUUGUCAUCUUCCUGAACCUACAGACGAAUCAAAGUGAGAAGCUACAGUGUGGAAAUCAGUCGC